rnacentral:sRNA from 1 species
AUAAAAGAGGCAGGGAGUACAAAUCUUUGCCACACUCGCGGUCAAGUCUUGGGAGGAUCAGAUCUAGGCGCGCCCGUUCGCAGCCCCUUAAUUGGUGAAGGAUCACGCGAAGCUUCGAACAAGGUCUUUUGACCUUGUUUUUUUUU